rnacentral:rRNA from 1 species
UACGUAGGGUGCAAGCGUUGUCCGGAAUUAUUGGGCGUAAAGAGCUCGUAGGCGGUCUGUCGCGUCGGCUGUGAAAACCCGGAGCUCAACUCCGGGCCUGCAGUCGAUACGGGCAGACUGGAGUUCGGCAGGGGAGAAUGGAAUUCCCGGUGUAGCGGUGAAAUGCGCAGAUAUCGGGAGGAACACCGGUGGCGAAGGCGGUUCUCUGGGCCUUACCUGACGCUGAGGAGCGAAAGCGUGGGGAGCGAACAGG